GGAGAGGUGGCAGAGUCCGGUUGAAUGCACUGCAUUCGAAAUGCAGCGUACCUUAGGGUACCGGGGGUUCGAAUCCCUCCCUCUCCG
rnacentral:tRNA from 1 species